CAGAAGAUAACUUUUUUUUUAGAAAACUGCUGUAGUUCUUAUGAAGAACAUAUCAAUUACACUUUCGUCAAUUGAACUUUCAGUGACUAAAUAGAUCCCAUAUGUCUAUAGAUUCAACUGAUUGGAAACAGAAUGUGGGAUGAAAUCCUUGCACCUGUAUCUUAAAAGAGGAGUUCUUUGUGACUGGACCUUGCUUCUAUCAGCUUCUCCUUCCUAAUAAAAAUCCUAGUCGCUAUCAUUUUUUCUCUUCCAUUUGGUCCAAUUUGCCAAUAUCCGCAUGGGCAGACACAUACUUCUGAUAAGAGUACUAUUUAGUCCUGUGACUUUGGAUUUAUUAUUCUGUGCGGAG